GUUCAGCAGAGCAGGAAUCAAAGAGACACGAGCCAGGAGAAAGCAUGUGACAAAAUCCAGCAGGCAAGAGAAGGCCCCAUUUCAGUAGUAAAUGGGUCUGGAGAACCUAACCUGGCAUUAGUAAAGAAAUAUAUCAGGAAAGAAAAAGAAAAAUGAAAAUUCAGGAUUGCUAGGA